rnacentral:rRNA from 1 species
UACGGGGGGAGCAAGCGUUGUUCGGAUUUACUGGGCGUAAAGGGCGCGUAGGCGGCCACCGCAAGUCGACUGUGAAAUCUCUGGGCUUAACCCAGAAAGGUUAGCCGAUACUGCGGGGCUAGAGUGCAGAAGGGGCAACUGGAAUUCUCGGUGUAGCGGUGAAAUGCGUAGAUAUCGAGAGGAACACCUGCGGCGAAGGCGGGUUGCUGGGCUGACACUGACGCUGAAGCGCGAAAGCUAGGGGAGCGAACGGG